GUGCAGCAGGCGCGAAAACUUUACAAUGCUGGCAACAGCGAUAAGGGGACCUCGAGUGCCAGGAUACAAUCUUGGCUGUCGCGAUGCCUAAAAAGCAUUGCAUAGCAAGGGCCGGGCAAGACCGGUGCCAGCCGCCGCGGUAACACCGGCGGCUCGAGUGGUAACCGCUAUUAUUGGGUCUAAAGGGUCUGUAGCCGGCCGGAUAAGUCUCUUGGGAAAUCCAGCUGCUCAACAGUUGGGCUUUCAGGAGAUACUGUUCGGCUCAGAGACCGGGAGAGGUGAGAGGUACUUCAGGGGUAGGG
rnacentral:rRNA from 1 species